UCCCGUCGCUCUCGUGGAACAUACGAUAUCGCAACUUUUCAUAACCGGUUGUUAUACCGAUGUGCCGACACGGCAGCGUCGAUGAACAUUUUGCGGCGUACGCUUUAAACCGGCUUCACGUCAGUCGUACUAAUUGUAUCGCGUCUUUUCUUUUUGCAAGAUCAGUCCGACUGAAUCACUAUCGUGAUUUGCGAGUGAAAAUAUAGAAGUUUGCGAGUUUUCUUCAGAAGAUGUUCAAAGUGAAUGGCUAUAUUUAUCUGUGAUCGAAUUGUGAUCUGUUGUUGUGAUCGCGUGUGUCAUGUAGAGAUAAGAAUUCGCUGAAUAAAAUCCGUCAACUUUUUCUUAUUUCUAUUUACAGUUUUCGAAUGCAAAUUUACUGCUGAAUACGCAUCGAGUGUGCUUUGUGAAUGGAAUAAAGAUUCAAUCCUGCUCUAAUACACAUUAUAACAGUGAAUUAAUAUGCCUAUCUUUUUCUAAAUCGUAACUCAUUAUAAUAUAGAAAAAGUAGAUUCGAUUAUCGCUUCGAGUAAUUACGCGUGGAAUGUGAAGUGUGUGUAAAAAUUGUUUGUCGAAUGAUGGUUCAGUGCGAAAUAAUAAAACAAUUUCAGACUUGACUACAAUUGAAAUCAACAAUUGUACGAAAGUCUUUCGUCUUACUUGCUGUACGCGCAAACUGUAAUCGUACCAAAGUUUUACAAUGUCUGAAACUUUAUAGUACGUCGAUGAAAACAUUUUUCCGGCACGAUUUCUGGCAUUAUAAAAUGGUUCGAUGAAUAAUUUGUAAUGCAAAAUAUAUUUUUCCAGUUUUAUCACACCAGUGGAUGAAAAUAUUGCAUUUUACUACAACGGACAUGUCGAGUGCAUCUUGAUACCGGACUUGUAUAGUAAUUCAAAUUUGUUAUCAGUGAUAUUAUUUAUUUGGAAAAUCUUUCGGAAAGAAAGUUUCAACUGUGAUAAAUUUAGACAAACGCACCUUAUUGGUUUCGGUAUGCGAACUACGCAAGCAAUUUUGGAGGAAUUAAUCACUGACUGCGCCUGUGUUCUCGAAAGUGCUGCCAACGCUAAUUGACAUUGAACCAUUCCGGAGGGAAUUUGCUUAUUAUCUGUUUCCCGAACAGAUUGUGCGGAAUCGUCGCGUCAACGCGCGUGAAUUUUCUACACGACCGAGAGCAUUGGACCAAAACGAAGCGAUUUACGGUGCAAAAUGGCCACGUGGUUCAGGAGAGAUAAAUGCGGCAAAUAUGUGAUGCGAAGAUUGCCGGUUCUUAGCUGGCUGCCACGAUACAAACCCACGUGGCUUUUACAAGACGCAUUGGCCGGUAUCACGGUCGGUCUCACUGCCGUACCACAAGGCAUCGCUUAUGGUAUCGUCGCCGGUUUACAUCCCGAGUACGGACUGUACGCAGCAUUUAUGGCAUCAUUUGUAUAUAUCGUUUUCGGUUCUUGCGAAAACAUCACUAUUGGUCCAACAGCGAUUAUGGCCACUAUGGUUCAACCGUUAGUCGAAAAAAACGGUGCUGACAUGGCUGUACUAAUCGCUUUUUUGAAAGGAUGCAUCAUUGCGCUUCUAGGAAUUUUUCAUUUAGGUUUUCUAUUAGACUUCAUAUCGCUUCCGGUAAUCACUGGUUUCACCUCAGCCGCAGCGAUCAACAUAGCUUCUUCUCAGUUUAAGUCGCUUUUGGGCAUUGCCGGUAGGACCGAAAAUUUUCUAGAUUCUCUGAUAGCAAUCUUCAAGAAUCUCCAUCAGAUCCGAUACGAAGAUACUUUGCUGGGCAUUGGAACAAUCAUUGUGUUGGUGCUGCUCAAGAACAUAUCUGGACGACGUACAGGAACAAUUUUUCAAAAAAUAGGAUGGUUUCUUGCUUUAUCUCGUAAUGCAUUGGUUGUAAUUGCAGGCACUAUUAUGGCAUAUAUUUUUUAUAUUUACAAUCUAAAUCCUUUUAAGUUAACGGGAUCGAUGGGUCAAGGUUUACCACCGUUUGCACCUCCGCCAUUCUCUACGACCUUCAACAAUCGCACAUACGACUUUUUAGAAAUGACUACCGCAAUGGGAACAACGCUGUUCACGAUACCAAUUGUGUCGACUAUCGAACACAUAGCCAUCGCAAAGGCAUUUGCAAAGGGCAAAUCCCUGGACGCCACGCAGGAGAUGAUCGCCCUGGGUGUCUGCAAUAUCUUCGGAUCGUUCGUUCGCUCGAUGCCAGUUACGGGAUCUUUCACACGUACGGCCGUCAAUCAUGCGUCAGGUGUCAAAACUCCGUUGGGGGGAAUAUUUACAGGUGGUCUGGUGUUGCUCGCAGUCGGUCUCUUGACCUCCACCUUCCGCUUCAUACCAAAGGCGACGCUGGCCGGCCUCAUCAUAUGUGCUAUGUACUAUAUGCUCGAUUUUUCGACGUACACCUUGCUGUGGCGCGCCAGAAAGGUCGAUUUCAUUGUGAUGAUGUUUACAUUGGUUCCCUGCGUCUUUCUUGGUUUGGAGUACGGUAUUUUAAUUGGCAUCAUUGUCAAUUUUAUAGCAUUGCUGUAUUGUUCAGCGCGACCCUCCAUUCGGACAAAAAUCGAACAGUGUAACGAAUGAAAAAGAGGCACAUACAAAAGUAAAAUUGUUUCGAGAUGGACAUCAAAUACUGCACGCGUUUGUUUUAAGGAUGGAGGCAUUUUGAAGAUUUCUAAAUCGAAGGGGAAACCGUAAUAGUUGUCAUACCUGAAGAGACGGUAGCCUUUCCAGCGGCAGAAUACCUGCGUGCUAAUAUAAUGAAGCUUUC
rnacentral:misc_RNA from 1 species